GCAUGCUGGAAUAGAGAAAAAUGGAACGUUGACGGAAAGGAGAGCCAAAAAUGGACGAGGUAGCGAAGCGAUCUUUCCACGAUUCUCUCUAUAACUAUACAUAAGUUACCGCUUUUAAAAACUACAGCAGUGAGCCAAGUUUUAAUCGUUGGUUGUGCAUAGAACGGAAAUAAUUGAUAGCAGGUUUGUAAAAGGGUGACCGAUAAUGAGGUUUUUUUACUUUGGCUCCUUACCUAAACAGCACAAGAUGAAUUUAAAGAGCGUGAGUAAGUACGACUGGUAGAUGUGCUGACUCAAGUUUAGCUGGUGGAGCAAACCGACCUCGGGUGUAAUGCCAACCAGCGAACCAACAAUGGAAUCAGGAACGCUGACGACUUUGAAUUCAUUGUUGACGUCUUCAAGGACUAUGUUUUCGCCGGGCAAGCCAAGGCCGAUCCUGAGCAGUUCGUCGAUAAUGAAAAGCGGCGGAACCCUCAUAACGACAUCGGCGAAAUUAAGCGCCUUAUUUCUAAUGGUGGUCAACAUAUUUUCCAAAUCUUUAAGGACGUCAGAAAGGUCGACUAUUUUGCACUUUCUCUUUCCUUGGAUUAUUAAUCGAGGUUACAAAACACGCUGCAGUUCUCAGCCUGCCUGCCAGCCAGCAACACCAGCUGCGCAUCACCAACCAACCAGCAGGUCUUGACUUUUUAAACUACAUGCUAUGCAGCAACAGAUGGAGC